rnacentral:rRNA from 1 species
AUGGACGAAAGUCUGACGGAGCAACGCCGCGUGAGUGAUGACGGCCUUCGGGUUGUAAAGCUCUGUUAAUCGGGACGAAAGGCCUUCUUGCGAAUAGUUAGAAGGAUUGACGGUACCGGAAUAGAAAGCCAUGGCUAACUACGUGCCAGCAGCCGCGGUAAUACGUAGGUGGCAAGCGUUGUCCGGAAUUAUUGGGCGUAAAGCGCGCGCAGGCGGAUUGGUCAGUCUGUCUUAAAAGUUCGGGGCUUAACCCCGUGAUGGGAUGGAAACUGCCAAUCUAGAGUAUCGGAGAGGAAAGUGGAAUUCCUAGUGUAGCGGCGAAAUGCGUAGAUAUUAGGAAGAACACCAGUGGCGAAGGCGACUUUCUGGACGAAAACUGACGCUGAGGCGCGAAAGCCAGGGGAGCGAACGGGAUUAGAUACCCCGGUAGUCCUGGCCGUAAACGAUGGGUACUAGGUGUAGGAGGUAUCGACCCCUUCUGUGGCGGAGUUAACGCAAUAAGUACCCCGCUUGGGGAGUACGACCGCAAGGUUGAGACUCAAAGGAAUUGACGGGGGCCCGCACAAGCGGUGGAGUAUGUGGUUUAAUUCGACGCAACGCGAAGAACCUUACCAGGUCUUGACAUUGAUGGACAGAACUA